AAGACCAUCUCUGGUGCCUUGUGACCUGGCCUCUCGUGUCUUGGGCAUAGCCUGGGUUGCCGGAUGAAUCCCUCCACAGCGAGACGGGUGAGACCACUCAUUAGCCUCUGCACAAAGAGAUACUCCACCUGCUCUGCCAAAUCACAGGGCACUUUGGUGUCUACUAAGAGGACAGCUCCCAAUCCUGCUUCCAUGGCUGCACAUCCAUGCCCACACAGAAAAGGGAACAUUUCACCCAGGGACACGUAA
rnacentral:lncRNA from 1 species